UUCCUUCGGAAUUAAGAACCUAAACAUUCUUAGCGGCGGGAUGGGUGAGUAAACGCGUUGAGAAACCCUUCCUUUUCCCAAAGGGGAAUGGCCUCGGGAAACGGGGAAUUAAUACCCUAUGAUACAACUUUUUCGCCAUGAGAGGGUUGUUAAAGCGUAAAGCGGUGAAAGAUGGUCUCGCGUCCCAUUUAGUUAGUUGGUGAGGUAAUCGCUCACCAAGACAACGAUGGGUAACCGGCCUGAGAGGGUGAUCGCCCACAUUGGGACUGAGACACGGCCCAGACUCCUACGGCAGGCAGCAGUGGGGAAUCUCGCACAAUGGGGGAAACCAUGAUGCAGCAACGCCGCGUGAGUGAUGACGGCCUUCGGGUUGUAAAGCUCUGUCUUCAGGGACGAUAAUGACGGUACCUGAGGAGGAAGCCACGGCUAACUACGUGCCAGCAGCCGCGGUAAUACGUAGGGGGCAAGCGUUGUCCGGAUUUAUUGGGCGUAAAGGGUUGGCAGGUGGCCUUUUAAGUCAGAUGUGAAAGAUCAAGGCUUAACCUUGGUAAGCAUUUGAAACUGAAAGGCUUGAGUUAAGGAGAGGAAAGUGGAAUUCCUAGUGUAGCGGUGAAAUGCGUAGAUAUUAGGAGGAACACCAGUGGCGAAGGCGACUUUCUGGACUUAUACUGACACUGAGGAACGAAAGCACGGGUAGCAAACAGGAUUAGAUACCCUGGUAGUCCGCGCCGUAAACGAUGAGUGCUAGGUGUCGGGGGUCAAACCUCGGUGCCGGAGCUAACGCA
rnacentral:rRNA from 1 species